UACGAAGGGUGCAAGCGUUACUCGGAAUUACUGGGCGUAAAGCGUGCGUAGGUGGUGAGUUAAGUCUGAUGUGAAAUCCCCGGGCUCAACCCUGGGAAUGGCAUUGGAUACUGGCUCGCUAGAGUGCGGUAGAGGGUGGUGGAAUUCCCGGUGUAGCAGUGAAAUGCGUAGAGAUCGGGAGGAACAUCUGUGGCGAAGGCGGCCACCUGGACCAACACUGACACUGAGGCACGAAAGCGUGGGGAGCAAACAGGG
rnacentral:rRNA from 1 species